rnacentral:rRNA from 1 species
GACGAACGCUGGCGGCGUGCCUAAUACAUGCAAGUCGAGCGAACAGAUGAGGAGCUUGCUCCUUAAGAUGUUAGCGGCGGACGGGUGAGUAACACGUGGGCAACCUGCCCUAUAGUUUGG